rnacentral:rRNA from 1 species
UACAGAGGGUGCGAGCGUUAAUCGGAAUUACUGGGCGUAAAGGGCGCGUAGGCGGUGUAUUAAGUUAGAUGUGAAAUCCCUGGGCUUAACCUAGGAACUGCAUCUAAGACUGAUACGCUAGAGUGCGGUAGAGGAUAGUGGAAUUUCCGGUGUAGCGGUGAAAUGCGUAGAUAUCGGAAGGAACACCAGUGGCGAAAGCGGCUUCCUGGUCCAGCACCGACGUUCAGGCACGAAAGCGUGGGGAGCAAACAGG